GAUGAACGCUGGCGGCGUGCCUAAUACAUGCAAGUCGAACGAGGCCCUUUGUAUUCGUACGGAGGUGUCCUAGUGGCGAACGGGUGAGUAACACGUUGGUGACCUGCCCCGAAGAGGGGGAUAACCUCGCGAAAGCUUGGCUAAUACCCCAUAAGAUCCAUGGAGUUAGAGGUCCAUGGAUGAAAGGAGUAAUCCGCUUUGGGAGGGACCUGCGGCCCAUCAGCUAGUUGGUAGGGUAGUGGCCUACCAAGGCUAUGACGGGUAGGGGGCCUGAGAGGGUGGUCCCCCACACUGGAACUGAAACACGGACCAGACACCUACGGGUGGCAGCAGUAGGGAAUAUUGCCCAAUGGACGAAAGUCUGAGGCAGCAACGCCGCGUGCGCGAUGAAGGCCUUCGGGUUGUAAAGCGCUUUUCUGGGGGAAGAGGAAGGACGGUACCCCAGGAAUAAGUCUCGGCUAACUACGUG
rnacentral:rRNA from 1 species